UUGACGCAGAGCCUGUUUUGUGCAGGAUUACAAUUCUCCUGUUUUUGCCAUAACCUCCUCCUCCACUUUCCUCCUCAUGCUCCCUUGACUAUCACUGUCUUUCAUCCCCUGCAGUGCUCCUCGUUCGCUCUUUCAUUCUUCACUGUGCUGCUUGUUUGCUAAGUUACGCCGAGGGCACCAACGCAGGAACAGGCUCCUAAGAGCCUGCACUCUAAAACAAAGCCCGCACCCGUGGCGACCAAAGCUGCCGAAAAGUUGAUCGGGACAUGUGCCUGAUCAGUAUGUGAUUUAUACGGUCAAUGAAAGGUAAAAAAUGCAGAUAACAUUGCCGUGUCAUGCAACGGCUCGUGGAUGACACACGACAACUCAUCCCGUAUAGGUGUCGACAUGGUGAUGGAGCUGUUGACAGGCAUCGUCCUCGAUAUUGUGACGCUCAAAACAUCUUGUGCUGGCUGCGAACAGGCACCAAAAGAUGAUGGCCUGACCUACCAGGCUUGCAAGAAGGAUCAUGUGGCAGAAGAACACUAUUAAGAGAGCCACUGAAAUGGAACUUGAAGCUUCAGUGAUUCUUUUUCGAAGGGCGCUGUAAAGGCGUAAGAUGUGGUACAGGACUUUACUUUCGGAUGAUGACAGCCGCACCUUCAAAGCAGAAGUGCUCUGGAACUGGCAGCCUUGGAGGCAAGGAUGUUUCCAUGCCGCCUGAAAAAAACAUCGUACCAGUUGUAUUGCUCGGGCUUCGACUGUAAACCAGCUCAUCAGAUUCUUGAACUGCAUCCAUUUUUUUUUUCUUUGCUACGUGACAAAGCCGUUUGAUCUACAAUUGAUUACCCUUUUGAUGGUGAUAUGACUCUUUGCUGAUUGCCGUCUAUGCUUCUCUUGUCUUGAACGAGUCUAAUGGCAAAUUCACUUGCUGCGCCAUCAUUUUACUGAAAUAAUGAAAAAAAAAAGGUUUUAUUGCACUGACUGCCGUGUAAUCAUCCGGGUAAAAUAAAGAUACACUGCAAUGUACAAAUAGAGAAUGUAA
rnacentral:lncRNA from 1 species